rnacentral:lncRNA from 1 species
UUGUCUUUCCUCAUACUUUCUGUCCCUUUGUCUAUGUACGCGCUGUAAGUAAUAUUUGCAAUGGAAUAGCAACUAGCCCGUACCCAAACCCUGCUUCACUAAUUUUGGCCU